AUCGCUUCUCGGCCUUUUGGCUAAGAUCAGGUGUAAUAUCUGUUCUUAUCAGUUUAAAAACUCAGAGCUCCAACAAGUCAGUGGUGUUAAACCCUUA
rnacentral:snRNA from 1 species